GAUGAACGCUAGCGGCAGGGUUAAUACAUGCAAGUCGAACGGUAACAGGUCUUCGGACGCUGACGAGUGGCGCACGGGUGAGGAACACGUACACAAUCUACCUUAUACUGGAGAAUAGCCCCGGGAAACUGGGAUUAAUACUCCAUAGUCUUUAAUGAUCACAUGAGAAAUAAAGUAAAGCUUCGGCGGUAUAAGAUGAGUGUGCGUCCCAUUAGAUUGUUGGUGAGGUAACGGCUCACCAAGUCGACGAUGGGUAGCUGGCGUGAGAGCGCGACCAGCCACACUGGCACUGAGACACGGGCCAGACUCCUACGGGAGGCAGCAGUAGGGAAUAUUGGUCAAUGGACGAAAGUCUGAACCAGCCAUGCCGCGUGGAGGAUGACUGCCCUCUGGGUUGUAAACUCCUUUUAUAUGGGAAGAAACCUCUGGAUUCACUCCAGAGCUGACGGUAUCAUAUGAAUAAGCACCGGCUAACUCCGUGCCAG
rnacentral:rRNA from 1 species